UGAGGAGGCCUUAGAUAACGUGAAUAACAUA
rnacentral:piRNA from 1 species